rnacentral:rRNA from 1 species
AAUAAUCAAAGGAGCAAUCCGCUUUGAGAUGGACCCGCGGCGCAUUAGCUAGUUGGUGAGGUAAGGGCUCACCAAGGCGACGAUGCGUAGCCGCCCUGAGAGGGUGAUCGGCCACAUUGGAACUGAGACACGGUCCAGACUCCUACGGGAGGCAGCAGUGGGGAAUAUUGCGCAAUGGGGGAAACCCUGACGCAGCAACGCCGCGUGAGUGAUGAAGGUUUUCGGAUCGUAAAACUCUGUCUUUAGGGACGAUAAUGACGGUACCUAAGGAGGAAGCCACGGCUAACUACGUGCCAGCAGCCGCGGUAAUACGUAGGUGGCAAGCGUUGUCCGGAUUUACUGGGCGUAAAGAGUAUGUAGGUGGGUGCUUAAGUCAGAUGUGAAAUUCCCGGGCUUAACCUGGGCGCUGCAUUUGAAACUGGGCAUCUAGAGUGCAGGAGAGGAAAGUGGAAUUCCUAGUGUAGCGGUGAAAUGCGUAGAGAUUAGGAAGAACACCAGUGGC